rnacentral:rRNA from 1 species
UACGAGGGGGGCGAGCGUUGUUCGGAAUUAUUGGGCGUAAAGGGCGCGUAGGCGGUGUGGCAAGUCAGGUGUGAAACCUCCAGGCUUAACUUGGAGCUUGCAUCUGGAACUGCCGUGCUAGAGUGCGGGAGAGGAGAGUGGAAUUCCUGGUGUAGCGGUGAAAUGCGUAGAUAUCAGGAGGAACACCGGUGGCGAAGGCGGCUCUCUGGACCGCAACUGACGCUGAGGCGCGAAAGCUAGGGGAGCAAACAGG